rnacentral:rRNA from 1 species
UACGUAGGUGGCGAGCGUUAUCCGGAUUUACUGGGCGUAAAGGGUGUGCAGGCGGGUCAUUAAGUGGUGUAUGAAAUCGCCCGGCUCAACCGGGCGAGGUUAUGCCAGACUGGUGGUCUAGAGAGCGAGAGAGGGACGUGGAAUUCCGGGUGUAGUGGUGAAAUGCGUAGAGAUCCGGAGGAACCCCAGAGGCGAAGGCGGCGUCCUGGCUCGCAUCUGACGCUCAGACACGACAGCAUGGGGAGCGAACGGG